GGGGGCGAACGGUUUCGACGGGUUUGAGAUCCCCCAGGAAGCGAGUCGAGGUCUCCACCACCUCGUAAAUAAGGUGGAACAAAAAAGAAGUGCCAACAACGAACUUGCGCUUGCUGCUUAAUAGAUAAGCAGCCGUCCUUGCCGGGUCUGGCUGGUGCCUGGACAAAGGGCGUGAGAUAACCAGCCUACCGCCUGGAAAUUUGCUCUUCGUUUCCAGACGGGAAGCUGAAGAAGAGCUGUGGUUUGUACAACCUGCCUGCGGGUAGUACAAAUCAAGAUCGAAACGCAGGCUGCACUCGGAGAUGCCUGGGGGUACUCAUUCCCGGACGGGGGUUCGAUUCCCCCCGCCUCCACCA
rfam:Thermotoga lettingae TMO, complete genome.